UUUCUUUUUCCUCAAAUUGAUUAAUACAAGAUCUCAGGGGUUCUAUCCAAAGCGUUUUGAUCUUAAGCUUGAGGGAAAGUACACGGCUAUUAGAGGGUUCAUCCAUCCAAUCCGAUAGAGAAAAAGACAUUGGAUCCGAGAGAGAAAGGGAGACAUCAGAUCCGAGAGAAAAGGGAGACACUCGAAGAAAGCUAAUGAAGUCUAGUUUCCAAUCCCAACAAAUUUCAUAUCAAUUGAAGUUUCCUAGAAGGAGUUAUGGCUGCUAGACUGGAGGCCUAUCAAGUUGACUGGUUUCAGUAACUCCUUUACUUUCUAUUUCUGCAGCUUCUCUUUUAGUCUUAAUUAUCUCUUAAGUGUUUGUUAGUUUGAUAACUUUGUUUAUCUUUAAGUUUUCCUAUUCUUGGAGGGUUGUUCCAAGAGUUAUAUACUUGGAUUGGGUGCCUAAGGGAGGACAUCUAAUGUUUGGUUAGAGAGUGGGAGGCUGUGCCUCAUUUUUCUUGGUUCUUUUCUUUGAGCUUGUGCAGGCCAUUGAAGGAACUCUCUCAACUCUGUAUCUCUUUGGGCAGAUCUAGGGAGUGGUGAGUGGCUAGGUCCUGUAUCCGAUCGUGGACUUUGUUCGGUGGUGGAUCUCAUCCCUUUUGUUACAUUAUUUCCGCAUCAGCAACAAUGGAGGAGCAAUGGUGGUGUUAAUGGUGAGCCAGAGGACAUUCUUGAUGUGUUCAUCUUUCUUAAAGAUGAUGAAGGAAAAGCCUCUCUUAAGAAUUGAAGAAAUUAAGGCACAAU